AUUGUCUAUGUUGAUGAUAUAGUUGUGACAGAAAAUGAUAAGGGGGAGUUUGCUCAUUUAAAAGAGCACUUGGCUCAGGAAUUUGAAAUUAAAGACCUGAGUAGAUUAAGAUACUUCCUUGGAAUAGAAGUUGCCAGAUCAGACAGAGGGAUUUUUAUUUCUUAAAGGAAGUACGUAUUAGAUCUCUUAGAUGAGAUAGGUAUGUUGGGCUGUAAACCGGCAGAAUCUCCUAUUGAAGCUAAUCACAAGCUGCAAGCUAGAAUUGGGAAGGCAGUUGACAAAGGAAGAUAUUAGAGGUUAGUUAAGAGAUUGAUUUAUCUCUCUCAUACUAGACCAGACACAGCCUAUGCUGUAAGCCUAGUGAGCCAGUAUAUGCAUGAUUCUCGUGAAUCUCAUUUGAAGGUUGUUUUUUGCAUCUUGCGAUACCUAAAAGCUACACCUGGGAAAGAACUUUUUUUCUCAAAGCAUGGUCACCUUCAGAUUAAAGCCUUUACAGAUGCAG
rnacentral:misc_RNA from 1 species